UCCCAGACUCCUACGGGAGGCAGCAGUGGGGGAUAUUGCACAAUGGGGGAAACCCUGAUGCAGCGACGCCGCGUGGGCGAAGAAGUAUUUCGGUAUGUAAAGCCCUCUCAGCAGGGAAGAAGAAAUGACGGUACCUGAGUAAGAAGCACCGGCUAAAUACGUGCCAGCAGCCGCGGUAAUACGUAUGGUGCAAGCGUUAUCCGGAUUUACUGGGUGUAAAGGGAGCGCAGGCGGCACGGCAAGCCUGAUGUGAAAGCCCGCGGCCCAACCGCGGGACUGCAUUGGGAACUACCGGGCUGGAGUGCCGGAGAGGUAGGCGGAAUUCCUAGUGUAGCGGUGAAAUGCGUAGAUAUUAGGAGGAACACCGGUGGCGAAGGCGGCUUACUGGACUGUAACCGACGUUGAGGCUCGAAGGCGUGGGGAGCAAACAGGAUUAGAUACCCCUGUA
rnacentral:rRNA from 1 species